GAGCCCUACGGGAGGCAGCAGUGGGGAAUAUUGGACAAUGGGGGGAACCCUGAUCCAGCGACGCCGCGUGAGUGAAGAAGUAUUUCGGUAUGUAAACCUCUUUUGUCAGGGAGCAAAGGCGUCCACGAGUGGACGAAAGGAGAGUACCUGAAGAAAAAGCAUCGGCUAACUCCGUGCCAGCAGCCGCGGUAAUACGGAGGAUGCGAGCGUUAUCCGGAUUUAUUGGGUUUAAAGGGUGCGUAGGCGGAGUGUCAAGUCAGCGGUAAAAUUUCGGGGCUCAACCCCGUCGUGCCGUUGAAACUGAC
rnacentral:rRNA from 1 species